UACGUAGGGUGCGAGCGUUGUCCGGAAUUAUUGGGCGUAAAGGGCUCGUAGGCGGUUUGUCGCGUCGGGAGUGAAAUCCACUGGCUUAACUGGUGGCUUGCUUUCGAUACGGGCAGACUGGAGGUAUGCAGGGGAGAACGGAAUUCCUGGUGUAGCGGUGAAAUGCGCAGAUAUCAGAAGGAACACCGGUGGCGAAGGCGGGUCUCUGGGCCGAUACUGACGCUGAGGAGCGAAAGCGUGGGGAGCGAACAGG
rnacentral:rRNA from 1 species